rnacentral:rRNA from 1 species
UGAGGAAUAUUGGUCAAUGGACGCAAGUCUGAACCAGCCAAGUAGCGUGCAGGAUGACGGCCCUAUGGGUUGUAAACUGCUUUUAUAUGGGGAUAAAGUGGGGAACGUGUUCCCUUUUGCAGGUACCAUAUGAAUAAGGACCGGCUAAUUCCGUGCCAGCAGCCGCGGUAAUACGGCAGGUUCGGGCGUUAUCCGGAUUUAUUGGGUUUAAAGGGAGCGUAGGCCGUUUGGUAAGCGUGUUGUGAAAUGUAGGAGCUCAACUUCUAGAUUGCAGCGCGAACUGUCAGACUUGAGUGCGCACAACGUAGGCGGAAUUCAUGGUGUAGCGGUGAAAUGCUUAGAUAUCAUGAAGAACGCCGAUUGCGAAGGCAGCUUAAGGGAGCGCAACUGAAGCUGAAGCUCGAAGGUGCGGGUAUCGAACAGG